AACGAACGCUGGCGGCAGGCCUAACACAUGCAAGUCGAACGCUCCGCAAGGAGAGUGGCAGACGGGUGAGUAACACGUGGGAAUCUUCCUAUCGGUACGGAAUAGCUCAGGGAAACUUGGGGUAAUACCGCAUACGCCCUUCGGGGGAAAGAUUUAUCGCCGAUAGAUGAGCCCGCGUCUGAUUAGCUAGUGGGUGAGGUAACGGCUCACCAAGGCGACGAUCAGUAGCUGGUCUGAGAGGAUGACCAGCCACACUGGGACUGAGACACGGCCCAGACUCCUACGGGAGGCAGCAGUGGGGAAUAUUGGACAAUGGGCGCAAGCCUGAUCCAGCCAUGCCGCGUGAGUGACGAAGGUCUUCGGAUUGUAAAGCUCUUUUGGCGGGGACGAUAAUGACGGUACCCGCAGAAUAAGCACCGGCUAACUCUGUGCCAGCCGCCGCAGUAA
rnacentral:rRNA from 1 species